rnacentral:rRNA from 1 species
UGGAACAUGGGGGCACCCUGAUCCAGCGACGCCGCGUGAGGGAAGAAGGUCUUCGGAUUGUAAACCUCUGUUGACGGAGAAAAAAAUGAUGGUAUCCGUUUAGAAAGCCACGGCUAACUACGUGCCAGCAGCCGCGGUAAUACGUAGGUGGCAAGCGUUGUCCGGAAUUACUGGGUGUAAAGGGAGUGUAGGCGGGAUUUUAAGUCAGAAGUGAAAAUUACGGGCUCAACUCGUAACCUGCUUUUGAAACUGAAAUUCUUGAGUGAAGUAGAGGCAAGCGGAAUUCCUAGUGUAGCGGUGAAAUGCGUAGAUAUUAGGAGGAACACCAGUGGCGAAGGCGGCUUGCUGGGCUUUUACUGACGCUGAGGCUCGAAAGCGUGGGGAGCAAACAGGAUUAGAUACCCUGGUAGUCCACGCCGUAAACGAUGAUUACUAGGUGUGGGGGGAUUGACCCCUUCCGUGCCGGAGUAAACACAAUAAGUAAUCCACCUGGGGAGUACGACCGCAAGGUUGAAACUCAAAGGAAUUGACGGGGGCCCGCACAAGCAGUGGAGUAUGUGGUUUAAUUCGAAGCAACGCGAAGAACCUUACCAGGUCUUGACAUCAAGUGACCGCCUAAGAGAUUAGGCCUUCUCUUCGGAGACACGAAGACAGGUGGUGCAUGGUUGUCGUCAGCUCGUGUCGUGAGAUGUUGGGUUAAGUCCCGCAACGAGCGCAACCCUUAUCAUUAGUUGCUACGCAAGAGCACUCUAAUGAGACUGCCGUUGACAAAACGGAGGAAGGUGGGGAUGACGUCAAAUCAUCAUGCCCUUUAUGACCUGGGCUACACACGUACUACAAUGGCGUUUAACAAAGAGAAGCGAAACAGCGAUGUGGAA